rnacentral:lncRNA from 1 species
UCUACCCCCUCCCUUCUGGCCUCCGGCACCGAAUAAAAAAACUCAUCGAUUCCUACGACCGUUGCCCACUAGUCUCCCCGACACUCCCUCUGUCAUGUCUAUUGUCAGAACCUGAAAGCCUGCUACAUUGCCUCGAAGUGCUGCAACCUCAGUAUGAAGGUCUCUUAUAUCUCAUCCCAGCACUCUAAUCUCAUCUCGUAGUGCUACUACCUCUAUCGUAAAAUCCC